rnacentral:rRNA from 1 species
CAGUCGCCACGGGAAUACAGAGGGUGCAAGCGUUAAUCGGAAUUACUGGGCGUAAAGCGCGCGUAGGUGGUUUGUUAAGUUGGAUGUGAAAGCCCCGGGCUCAACCUGGGAACUGCAUCCAAAACUGGCAAGCUAGAGUACGGUAGAGGGUGGUGGAAUUUCCUGUGUAGCGGUGAAAUGCGUAGAUAUAGGAAGGAACACCAGUGGCGAAGGCGACCACCUGGACUGAUACUGACACUGAGGUGCGAAAGCGUGGGGAGCAAACAGGAUUAGAUACCCGGGUAGUCCCUGUCUCUUAUAC